rnacentral:rRNA from 1 species
UACGAAGGGGGCUAGCGUUGUUCGGAAUUACUGGGCGUAAAGCGCACGUAGGCGGAUCUGUAAGUAGGGGGUGAAAUCCCCAGGCUCAACCUGGGAACUGCCUUCUAGACUGCAAGUCUUGAGAUCAGGAGAGGCGAGUGGAAUUCCGAGUGUAGAGGUGAAAUUCGUAGAUAUUCGGAGGAACACCAGUGGCGAAGGCGACUCGCUGGACUGAUACUGACGCUGAGGUGCGAAAGCGUGGGGAGCAAACAGG